UACGGGGGGAGCAAGCGUUGUUCGGAUUUACUGGGCGUAAAGGGCGCGUAGGCGGUCAGCACAAGUCAGUUGUGAAAUCUCCGGGCUUAACCCGGAAAGGUCAACUGAUACUGUGCGACUAGAGUGCGGAAGGGGCAACUGGAAUUCUCGGUGUAGCGGUGAAAUGCGUAGAUAUCUGGAGGAACACCGGUGGCGAAGGCGGCAUCCUGGACCGGCAUUGACGCUGAGGAGCGAAAGCCAGGGGAGCAAACGGGG
rnacentral:rRNA from 1 species